AAGAAGCCGUCGAGAGAUAUCGGAAGAGUUUUCUUUUCUGUUUUAUAGCCGUACUACCAUGGAAGUCUUUCGCAGAGAGAUAUGGUAGAUGGGCUAGAAGAGCAUGACAUAUACUGUUGUGUCGAUAUUUUCUCCUCGGACCUUGAAAAUUUAUGGUGGGGACACGCAAACUUCUCAACAGGCCGUACCAAUAUCCGCAGCUGGUCUCCAAGGUGAAGAGUCUCUAGUCGAUAGAAUAAUGUAGGUAAGGGAAGUCGGCAAAAUAGAUCCGUAACUUCGGGAUAAGGAUUGGCUCUAAGGGUCGGGCUCGCUGGGCCUUGGGGGGAACCUCCUGGA
rnacentral:rRNA from 1 species